rnacentral:lncRNA from 1 species
AUCUGACCCAAAAUUUUCUACUUAAUGUGUAUCAGAGUUUAUUUUAGCAUAACACCGAAUAGUAUAAAUGUAAUAUUUCUUAGCAUACAAAUGAAUAGCAUGCAUGUCUAGGUGUAUUCUCCUUUUACAUCCUCUGAUGGCUUACAAGGGUUUCCUUUAAGCUUUCAGCACUGAAUCUGAACAGUCUACGUGUGCCUUUGAAAGAAGCCAAGUGAUGCUCUGUACUUCUGCUCUUAAGGGAGAUAGGCAUCUCCAGAGGGAAAUUCAAAAUUUAAUGAUAUUGAGGAUCUUCUCCUAUUUUCUCUCCCUUCCUUGCUUUAGAGAAUUCACUAUUAAAAGGCACAGUAGUCUUUGAGAGAAGUCACUGUCUCACCAGGUGGCUUACUAGUAAUAAGAUUAUGGGUUUUUUUCUUUUUGCAUGCCCUCCUAUUUUAGAGAAACCAAUCUAAUUGCAGAAUACCAUUUCAGAGUUUGCAUUUUCUCUUCCCCUUUCAUGCUGAAUGCUUCCUAAUUCUUGCUUACAUAGUUGCUGAUUGUUAUAUGGUUCUGUGAUUCUUUGAUUAGUGACAUCUAUGUAUUGUAUGUAUCAACUGCAGAAGAACUGCAAUUAGAAAUAAUUUGAGUGUAUCUACAUCUAUAACUGUAGAUUUCAUAUCCUGCCAGGCCUUUUGAAGGAGACAUUUCCUUUCUCCUUUCCGUGCCCCCUUCAUGCCGUUUCUGCACGCUGGAAUCUACUUGUCUGUUACAUAGGGAGCUGGAAGCAGCAAUGCGGCUGCAGGGAUUGGCAGAAGAGAGCUGCUUUAUGAUUAAAUGAAGCUGCUGCAACACACUGCAGUUAGAAAAGGCACUUCUGGAUCACAGUCACAAAAUCAGGACGUGCUGCUAGGAGUGGUGAUGCAUCUCAGCAAGCAGGCUGCAGGACAUCAGAUUUGUUCAAUACCACCAGACAGAGGUGCUCAUCACAGUAAAAAGAAGUUCAACAAAAUAUUGAAAAAAUAUUUCACAAUUUGAUCUGUAAUUAAAUCUUUCCAUCUGUAAUACUAGGUCUAAUUUUUC